GCAAGCGCCUCCUGAACUAUCGGGCACCGUUAGGAGAAAUCCGACGUGUGAAUGUAGUCAAAUUCGGUGAAACCUAACAAGUGUUGUACUUUAAGGCAAUACCGAGCCAAGCCCUGUCUACAGGGAAGGUGUAGAGACUAGACGGCUACCACCUAAAGGCAUUUGUUUAUCAUUUGUCAACGGUGAAGGUAUAGUCCAGAGAGUGAGGAAACUCACAC
rnacentral:ncRNA from 1 species